rnacentral:rRNA from 1 species
UGGUGGGUAGUUUGACUGGGGCGGUCUCCUCCCAAAGAGUAACGGAGGAGCACGAAGGUUAGCUAAUCACGGUCGGACAUCGUGAGGUUAGUGCAAAGGCAUAAGCUAGCUUGACUGCGAGAGUGACGGCUCGAGCAGGUACGAAAGUAGGUCUUAGUGAUCCGGUGGUUCUGAAUGGAAGGGCCAUCGCUCAACGGAUAAAAGGUACUCCGGGGAUAACAGGCUGAUACCGCCCAAGAGUUCAUAUCGACGGCGGUGUUUGGCACCUCGAUGUCGGCUCAUCACAUCCUGGGGCUGAAGUAGGUCCCAAGGGUAUGGCUGUUCGCCAUUUAAAGUGGUACGCGAGCUGGGUUUAGAACGUCGUGAGACAGUUCGGUCCCUAUCUGCCGUGGGCGUUGGAAGAUUGAGAGGGGUUGCUCCUAGUACGAGAGGACCGGAGUGAACGCACCACUGGUGUUCGGGUUGUCAUGCCAAUGGCAUUGCCCGGUAGCUAAGUGCGGAAAAGAUAAGCGCUGAAAGCAUCUAAGCGCGAAACUUGCCUCAAGAUGAGUCUUCCCUGGGCCUUUAAGGUCCCUGAAGGAACGUUUAAGACUAAGACGUUGAUAGGCUGGGUGUGUAAGUGCAGCGAUGCAUUGAGCUAACCAGUACUAAUGAUCCGUGAGGCUUAACCUU